rnacentral:rRNA from 1 species
AACCCAUAAGAGGUACAGCCUGCCCAGUGACUCUGUUUAACGGCCGCGGUAUCCUAACCGUGCGAAGGUAGCGUAAUCACUUGUUCUUUAAAUGAGGACUAGUAUGAAUGGCAUCACGAGGGUUAUACUGUCUCCUUUCCACAAUCAGUGAAACUGAUCCCUCCGUGAAGAAGCGGAGAUAACUAUAUAAGACGAGAAGACCCUAUGGAGCUUUAAACUAAAUUUCACUUGCACGUUAUAUAAAAAUUCCAGAAAAAUAAAAUACACUUAAGCAUGUUGAUACUAAGUUUUAGGUUGGGGUGACCGCGGAGUAAAAUACACCCUCCGCAUUGAAUAAGAGUGUUUCUUUAACUAAAAGCUACAACUUAAAGCAUCAACAAAUUGACAUUAUUGACCCAAUAUUUUGACCAACGAACCAAGUUACCCUAGGGAUAACAGCGCAAUCCACUUCAAGAGUCCAUAUCGACAAGUGGGUUUACGACCUCGAUGUUGGAUCAGGGUGUCCCAGUGGUGCAGCCGCUACUAAAGGUUCGUUUGUUCAACGAUUAAAACCCUACGUGAUCUGAGUUCA